CAUCUUUUAAAUAAUGUUUUAUAUACUCUUGUAAAUCACGCAAUUCAUCUGUCCAGCUGCAAGGUGAAUUUUAAAUACACUAUCUAUCUAUCUAAGUCCUGCGCCAGCUUUCAACGUCUCGCUGCAGUCCACUCCAAUAGAAUCUUUGUUUGACUCUUUCCACCGCCUUUGUUACCCCAAGAUGCUCGCAAGUUGGAUUGUUGUGCGAAAGAUCUAAAACAACCGGUAGUCAAUUUAUCCCGGGCAUUCUGUGACCCCCGUCCGCGAUCAUAUCAG